rnacentral:rRNA from 1 species
AACGAACGCUGGCGGCAGGCUUAACACAUGCAAGUCGAGCGAGACCUUCGGGUCUAGCGGCGGACGGGUGAGUAACGUGUGGGAACGUGCCCUUCUCUACGGAAUAGCCCCGGGAAACUGGGAGUAAUACCGUAUACGCCCUUUGGGGGAAAGAUUUAUCGGAGAAGGAUCGGCCCGCGUUGGAUUAGGUAGUUGGUGGGGUAAUGGCCCACCAAGCCGACGAUCCAUAGCUGGUUUGAGAGGAUGAUCAGCCACACUGGGACUGAGACACGGCCCAGACUCCUACGGGAGGCAGCAGUGGGGAAUCUUAGACAAUGGGGGCAACCCUGAUCUAGCCAUGCCGCGUGAGUGAUGAAGGCCUUAGGGUUGUAAAGCUCUUUCAGCUGGGAAGAUAAUGACGGUACCAGCAGAAGAAGCCCCGGCUAACUCCGUG